rnacentral:rRNA from 1 species
ACGUCAGCGGCAGACGGGUGAGUAACGCGUGGGAACAUACCUUUUGGUUCGGAACAACACAGGGAAACUUGUGCUAAUACCGGAUAAGCCCUUACGGGGAAAGAUUUAUCGCCGAAAGAUUGGCCCGCGUCUGAUUAGCUAGUUGGUAGGGUAAUGGCCUACCAAGGCGACGAUCAGUAGCUGGUCUGAGAGGAUGAUCAGCCACAUUGGGACUGAGACACGGCCCAAACUCCUACGGGAGGCAGCAGUGGGGAAUAUUGGACAAUGGGGGCAACCCUGAUCCAGCCAUGCCGCGUGAGUGAUGAAGGCCCUAGGGUUGUAAAGCUCUUUUGUGCGGGAAGAUAAUGACGGUACCGCAAGAAUAAGCCCCGGCUAACUUCGUGCCAGCAGCCGCGGUAAUACGAAGGGGGCUAGCGUUGCUCGGAAUCACUGGGCGUAAAGGGUGCGUAGGCGGGUUUUUAAGUCAGGGGUGAAAUCCUGGAGCUCAACUCCAGAACUGCCUUUGAUACUGAAGAUCUUGAGUCCGGGAGAGGUGAGUGGAACUGCGAGUGUAGAGGUGAAAUUCGUAGAUAUUCGCAAGAACACCAGUGGCGAAGGCGGCUCACUGGCCCGGUACUGACGCUGAGGCACGAAAGCGUGGGGAGCAAACAGGAUUAGAUA